rnacentral:lncRNA from 1 species
GAAGUAUGUUCCCUGGACCAGCGGUAUCAACAUCACCUGGGAAGAUGUAGAAGCACAAAUUCUCCUGCCUACUCCAGACCUACAGAAUUAGAAACUCUGGGGCUGGAGCUCAGUAAUCGGUGAUUUACCAGUCCUCCAGGUGAUUCUGAAACAUGCUCUCGUGUGAGGACCACUGCUGUAAAGGCAAGUCUGUCCACUUGUAAAACCCUGUGAUUCUACCUUGCCUGAUAAUCUUCACCAACUCGAAACUGUAGUGAACUCCGUAUCCUCUCAUUAAGCAGACCUCUUGGCCUCAAAAGGAGAUGUAAGUCCUUGGAAAGAGUUAGUGAUGCGACCACUCAAUUCCAUGGCCUCAGUGUCUUACCAAGCCCUUGACUCCUGGUGUUUGUCCUCAUAGUCCCUGUGCUCUGUGCCUGUUAUUAAGGUCAGAAGAACCUACUCCUGCACCCAAACUCACCAUCUGCUUACCCGGCAGGUGAGUUUGGGCAACAUUUUGAUUGACUUUCACCUAUUCCAGAUGAGAAUCUUGAAAAGAGAUUUGGGAACCUUAUUUCUCCUGUUUGACCACUAAAACUGUGCUUAGACCUCUCUUGCUGUACCGCCAUUGUUGUAGUAAACACCGAAGUUCCCGGUUCUGGUGCUGAAUUAGUCCCUUAACAAUAAUCUGCUAGGUGUUCUAGUCACUGACCUGCAUUCGUCCUCUAGUCCUAUUCUGGGGCCCUUAGUCUCUGUUAGGACUCAGUUGAAUCCUUCCCUCAUACCCAACAAAUUUGUAUGUUGGAGUCCUAACCCCCAGGACCUCAGAAUAUGGCUAUAUUUGGACACAGACCUUUAAUGAGAUAAUUGACUUAAAUGAGGCCAUUAGAAUGGGCCUUAAUCCAGUAUGAACAGUGUCCUUAAGAGGAGAUUCGGACACAGAUGUGCACCAAGGGAAGACCCUGUGAAGAUACAGGGAGAAGACGGCGUCUGCAAGCCAAUGAGAGAGGCCUCAAAAGAAAUCAACCCUGCCAACAUCCUGAUCUCAGACCUCCAGCCUCCAAAACUGCCAGGUGACUCAAAUGUGUGGACUUUUGCUGCUGAAGUAUUGUAAAGAUGGAUUAUUCUGACCUAGGAAGAUGUGAGACCAUGCCAGGGAGCUGAAGACAAGGUUUUCCUGAAGGGGAAAGGAAGGUUUCAUUGUGAAAGAUCUCUCUCUCUCUCACUCUGGAGAAGGAGGAGGAGGAAGAAAAUGUUCUGGAGUCUGGAAGUCCAAGAUGAAGGUGCCUGCAGAUUCGGUGUCUGUUGAGAACUUUCUUCCUGGUUUGUGGACAGCAGUCUUCUUGCUGCAUCCUCACAUGAUG